GACGAACGCUGGCGGCGUGCUUAACACAUGCAAGUCGAACGGAAAGGCCCUGCUUUUGUGGGGUGCUCGAGUGGCGAACGGGUGAGUAACACGUGAGUAACCUGCCCUUGACUUUGGGAUAACUUCAGGAAACUGGGGCUAAUACCGGAUAGGAGCUCCUGCUGCAUGGUGGGGGUUGGAAAGUUUCGGCGGUUGGGGAUGGACUCGCGGCUUAUCAGCUUGUUGGUGGGGUAGUGGCUUACCAAGGCGUUGACGGGUAGCCGGCCUGAGAGGGUGACCGGCCACAUUGGGACUGAGAUACGGCCCAGACUCCUACGGGAGGCAGCAGUGGGGAAUAUUGCACAAUGGGCGGAAGCCUGAUGCAGCAACGCCGCGUGCGGGAUGACGGCCUUCGGGUUGUAAACCGCUUUCGCCCGUGACGAAGCGUGAGUGACGGUAAUGGGUAAAGAAGCACCGGCUAACUACGUG
rnacentral:rRNA from 1 species